ACGCGACCCGCUCACCGGGAAAAAAUAAGGUCCAGAAAUGUUGUAAACUCCCGAGAAUUAAGACACGCGCGCGCGGCUCAGCGUGUGAGUGGCGUUUAUUGAGGCGAUCCUUCUGAUCUUGCUAAUAAAUAAAAACUAAGUGGACUGAAGCUCACUGUUAAAUCCAUAAUAUUAUUUUUAAAUGUCUUAUAUUAUCAGUAGUGUUUCUUACCAAAACAAUGCAUUUACCUCAUCGUGAAACAUUUGUUGAUCAGUUUGAAAUUAUUAAAAAAUAAAGAAAAAACAGUCUUCUUCUAUUACGAGGCAGCACUUUUCUUUUUUGGCGUAUUUCCGCCACAAGCUGUCGAUCAGCGGAAUAGCGUUGAACAUGGAGCCUGUGAUUCACUGGUUUUACACCAGUAACACACGCCAUUAUAGCUGGCCCAGCACUUUCUCCACACUACCCUGAUGGGGGAGGUGAUGAAGUUAGAGACAUAAUGCAGUAAGAAUCUGUGCUUUUGUUUUUGUUUUGUUUUCUAUAGAAGACAAUAUACAAGAGAGGGUUUUGCCACUGAUACUCUACAGAGCACGGAUGAGUCCAACUGGUGUUCAGCCCUUGAGCUGCGUGUGACACACAGACGCCGUCUCGCGCUGCAGCCCCAAAUAAAGACAUAUGCCGUUGCAUUGUUGUCCUCAGCUCUCCUCCUGCCGUCAGGGUGGGGAAGAUGAAGCGCUUUUCUGCGUCUGGUGUUUAGGAAAAAGCCUUCCAGAGGACAGAGCCCUGGUGAAUGUUUGUAUGAUGUUGUCGUGCUGUAUUAUGAUCAUGGAAGGAUCUGCGGAAAGUGUAUUUGUCUUAACUCAUGCUAUCAGGGAGAUGGGAAUGUGCAUUCAAAGGAUUUUAAAGUGGUUUAAAAGUAUAUCCUCUAACUCUAAAUCUCUGUAUGUGUUUGUGUGACACAGAAGGAAUCUCAAUGAAAAAUGCAUUUAAGUCAACGUAAAUGAUUAUAUCACGCUUAAUAGUUGCUAUACCAAGGUGCAAAUAUGUGUGAAUACGGUCCAAUCAUUUCAAAACGUGAACCAGAUAAAACAGAAGCGGCUCUUUUAAUGUACUCUGUCAGCAUUGUUGAGUUCCCUGCAGGAUGUUAAACAGAGAAUACUUGACAAACAAAGCGGUGCUGUGUCUUAACAGUUAUUGUGGUGAGGGACGGAGCUCGGCUUCGCACGGCGCUCGCUCGGCGGCAGGAAGUGAAACUGUCCGUGUUGAAGGGUCUGCUGAAGGCCGUGAUGUCGUUCAGCUCUAUAUGGCCCGAAGCGAUCAAACAUCCGCACAUUUAUAUGUAGCAUGCGUAAAGCGCUUAACAAUCCUCAGCAUCCUGCCGGUAAUGUUUCAGCCUUGAUGACAAUACGGUUGUAUUGAGAUCAGAAGGUUGAGAUUAAAUCAGAUUUCUCAACAGUAAGUAAUCUCAAUGCAAUUGGAUUCAUCUCAAAUAAAUUGACCUCUUAGUGUCUUUAAGAGAAGAUAUUACCUUUGAUUGAGCUUAACCUACCAACACAUUUAUUAUUUUUAUUAAAGGAUUAUAAAAUGUGUAACAACAAAGGAAAACAUUUUUGAACAUAAAGCAGUUUGUAAGGAGAGGAGUGUUUUUUAAUCCUUCUUAUAGUUACUGGAUUUUAUUACAGCAGCAGGAUUGAUUUAGAACUGGAUCAUCACGGCAAAACCCCAGCUGGUACGAAUGAAACCCUGCAGGCAGAGAACCACCGAUAUGGAAGAUUUACCACAAUUUUUCCCCAACUACAUAUUAUUGCAGCUAUUUGCUUGCUGUUUUAUGAUGAUGAUGUGUAAAAGCAGAUUGACAUUAAAAACAAAAUAAUUUAGUACCUUCAGCAUUUUGUCCCGUUAAGCAGACUGAAUAUAUUUGUAUACUUGCUAUACUUUUUCUAUAAAUUACGGCAGAAGCUUCAUAUGUUAAGAUCUCAGGUGCCUUCUGCUUCCCUCACUGCACAUAGUAAGUCUGUUUUAUGUUCUCUUCUCUUCAGUGGAUCUGAUAUGACCUCUCACUUACAAAUCAUGUUGUUGCUGUCAGACCGUGAAACUGUUUCUUCCUGGACUGCUGUCAGUGGGGUUUUUUCGGCUCUGUUUUACCUCCAGUGUUCAUCACUCCAGGUCACGAGGUCCUCCAAAGGUUCUGCUCCUCAAAGGAGGAGCAACUCUCUGUUGUUGUUAUCAAAGUAUAAACAUAUUGUAUUCCUGACCAACUGACUUGUAGUGAUUUGUACAGAGAUAUUUCUCUGCUGCCUUUGUCGGUAGGAAAAUAAAAACUAUACCCUUUAAAAACCUGAAUUCUCAAUGCAGAUAUUUGCUUUUUUUGGGAGUUGUUUAUCUCACACAAAACAAAAGCAGAAACACCUCCCUUCAUUCCAUCACAUCUUAAAGGCAGCUACACACAAAUAUCUCAACCUCACUGUGUCAACAAAACAUCUGCAUCAACUGGUUUGUCUGUUUUUUUGUCAAAUACGUCGUGGGAUUUUCUGAGACAAUUUAUUCUUCUAAAUAUUUAAAUAGCAAAAUAAGCAUCCUUUAGAGGACCCAUACGCCAUUCCACACAUUCAUAUAAACUUGAACUUCAUUUCAAUUCAACACGGGUCAUUUGCAGAAACCUUUUUCUAUUAAUUUUCUUUUAAAAAUCAUAUGUUUGUUGCUCUGCUUCUUUGAACCAUUGAGACUCACUGAGCAUCUGUGAUUCCUCAGACCAGCAACACACAACUAUCAUUGUCAUUAUUAUUUUCAUCAUCAUCUGUUCUUUCUGAUCAUCAAUUACUUUUGCUCGCACAGCGGAUGAAAGACCAGAUGUUGCGACGGUCUCUCAGGAAAUCCAUAAUCUGCCACAAGAAAAAACUCAGUAAAUCCAACCAAAAACAAAGAAAUGAGGUCACUAAGCUGGAACACCAUACAUUACAUUUUCUAGUAGGCACAAAGUCAGAGGAAUAAGCCUUCAGAAAACACCAGUAUGACCAGUUUGAACAUCCAUUCAAGUUUCACUCAUUAAGGCGUACCUAAUGGUGUUUUAAGACCUUAUUAUCUUCAAGAGUUUCAGCUGAAAUAUAUCAAAAUGAUAAUAAGAACCAUUGUCACAUUUAGCAGAUAAUAUAUUAUCAUGUCAUAUCAUCAAUUUUCUACAAAAGAAACAUAAACUCAUAACCAAGCCCACUUUCCCGUUCCGCCCUAUUUCACAUUUUUUCCUCGAGACUUCCCUCCAGUUGUAACAGCUACAAGAAAAUCCACAUUUGCAUGAUUAAUAAGUUACAUUUUUAUACAUACACAUAAACAGAGGGGGGUGGGGUGGGGGGGCGCUUGGAAGUUGCUUGGCACAUUCUCAUGCUUGACCAACCUCCUACAAUCUAAAUAACUAUACAAGACACAGUAAAACAGGUCUUCCCACACCGCCGCCUCUCUGUUCAGAAACGAGGCUUCAGCGUGUGCAGGAGAUGAAACAAACGCCCGCGUGGUCACGAUUAACACUUCUCUGCAUAAUCAUUCUGCAAAAAGGAGGGCGUACGCAACCCAAUGCACUAACAUGGAACAGUUCAGCUGUACAUACAGUAUCUUCACACACUCAUCACGUUUAGAUCCAUAAGUUAAUCUUCAUAUAUUGUAUCUUAAUAUGCUGGUACCAGGUAUUCACAGUGACUCUAAAAUAAAAUUACAAGGAAGUUUGUACAAGAAACAAGUGAGUCGGAGUGGCUGACGAACUUUUGGCAUCCCUUUUUGUCUAGAGUCUAGAGUUCGUGGUUGGAGAUUGGAGUUUGUGGUCAGUUCAGUUUGAUUUCGGUGGGAUUCAGGAGAGCUGCCUGCGCUUUUUUUUUUUUUCGUUGGCACUGAGGA